AUGAAUUGCUUGGCCUGGAACUGUCGAGGACUGGGUUUGGACUCGACAGGAGGCGAACUUCGGGACCUCAUAUGGUCACACAACCCAGCGGUGGUUUUUCUGUCGGAAACAAAAAAGAGUGCAAAGGCAAUGGAGAGGAUGAAGUGGAGACUUGGUUUCAGAAGCGGUGUGGCUGUGGAUUGCAAUGGGAAAAGUGGAGGUCUUGCACUAUGGUGGAGAGAGCACAUACAGGUUACUGUUAGGCCAUAG
rnacentral:rRNA from 1 species